GCUUGUCUCAAAGAUUAAGCCAUGCAUGUCUUAGUGUAAAUAACUCUUAUGAAACUGCGAAUGGCUCAUUAAAUCAGUUAUCAAAUACGUGAUGGUCGCCUACUACAUGGAUAACCGUAGUAAUUCUAGAGCUAAUACAUGCACAAAGGCCCAUUCACGUGGGUUGUGAUUAUUAGAUUCAAACCGGCCUCGUUCUGGUGACUCUGAAUAACUUUGGGCUGAUCGUAUGGCCUUGUGCCGACGACGUUUCCUUCGAAGGUGUGCCCUAUCAACUGUCGACUGUGAUAUAGACGCUCACAGUGGUUUUGACGGGUAACGGGGAAUCAGGGUUCGAUUCCGGAGAGGGAGCCUUAAAAACGGCUACCACAUCCAAGGAAGGCAGCAGG
rnacentral:rRNA from 1 species